GACGAACGCUGGCGGCGUGCUUAACACAUGCAAGUCGAACGGUGAAGGGGAGCUUGCUCCCUGGAUCAGUGGCGAACGGGUGAGUAACACGUGGGCAACCUGCCCCUGACUUCGGGAUAACGCUUCGAAAGAGGUGCUAAUACCGGAUAUGAACCCUGAGGGCAUCCUCGGGGUUGGAAAGUUUUUCGGUCAGGGAUGGGGCCCGCGGCCUAUCAGCUUGUUGGUGAGGUAGUGGCUCACCAAGGCGACGACGGGUAGCCGGCCUGAGAGGGCGACCGGCCACACUGGGACUGAGACACGGCCCAGACUCCUACGGGAGGCAGCAGCGGGGAAUAUUGCACAAUGGGCGAAAGCCUGAUGCAGCGACGCCGCGUGAGGGAUGACGGCCUCGGUUGGUAAACCUCUUUCAGCAGGAGAAGCUU
rnacentral:rRNA from 1 species